UUCAUCUGUGAUCCCCUCAAU
ensembl:piRNA 21ur-5936 ncRNA